GGAGAGGUAUCGAAGCGGUCAUAACGAGGCGGUCUUGAAAACCGUUUGUCCGAAAGUGCGCGUGGGUUCGAAUCCCACCCUCUCGGCCA
rnacentral:tRNA from 1 species